rnacentral:rRNA from 1 species
GAUGAACGCUGGCGGCGUGCCUAAUACAUGCAAGUCGAGCGAACGGACGAGAAGCUUGCUUCUCUGAUGUUAGCGGCGGACGGGUGAGUAACACGUGGAUAACCUACCUAUAAGACUGGGAUAACUUCGGGAAACCGGAGCUAAUACCGGAUAAUAUUUUGAACCGCAUGGUUCAAAAGUGAAAGACGGUCUUGCUGUCACUUAUAGAUGGAUCCGCGCUGCAUUAGAUAGUUGGUAAGGUAACGGCUUACCAAGGCAACGAUGCAUAGCCGACCUGAGAGGGUGAUCGGCCACCCUGGAAGUGAGACACGGUCCAGACUCCUACGGGAGGCAGCAGUAGGGAAUCGUACGCAAUGGGCGAAAGCCUGACGGAGCAACGCCGCGUGAGUGAUGAAGGUCUUCGGAUCGUAAAACUCUGUUAUUAGGGAAGAACAUAUGUGUAAGUAACUGUGCACAUCUUGACGGUACCUAAUCAGAAAGCCACGGCUAACUACGUG